ensembl:lncRNA
AGACGAGACAACCGAUGUCACAAACAAAGCCCAGAUCUCUGUCAUUUUGCGUUAUGUGGCUAAAAGCAGAUGGUGGUGGUAGACUGCUGUAAAAACAACUGCCCAUCUUGAAAUGCAAACGCCACUAUGGACCUAGAACUGUCCUCUUCAAGGUGGAAAAGAUCGCUGUGUUGAAAAACUGGAAAGGAAAGGAAGGAAGGAAAAAGUGAAGGAAGAAACGCAGUCUAUUCCACCAUCUUAUUAAAGGGAAUUCCAUAGCUGAACAUGAGGCAUCUGAAGAGCUGCUUUUUCCAGAGCUGUCUGACAUCACUAUGAGGUUUUCUAAACCUACUCUCUACCACCCCCUAUUUUCUGAUACUGCCCCUUGAACUUCACAAUGUCACACUGAGAAGCUUAGAUAUUGGUCACACAAUAUAUUUAGUUUAGGAAAGUAAUAGUGAUAAAAUGCCCAUUUUUUCCAGCAGAUGUACCGCACUGAUCUGUGUAUACAGUAGAAAGAGACUAGAGGUGGAAGUAAUUCCAAGGUUCAGUGAACAAUUAUUUUAAUACAUUUCCCUUUAG